UACGUAGGGUGCGAGCGUUAAUCGGAAUUACUGGGCGUAAAGCGUGCGCAGGCGGUUUUGUAAGCCAGAUGUGAAAUCCCCGGGCUUAACCUGGGAAUGGCAUUUGGGACUGCAAGGCUGGAGUGCGGCAGAGGAGACUGGAAUUCCUGGUGUAGCAGUGAAAUGCGUAGAUAUCAGGAGGAAUACCGAUGGCGAAGGCAGGUCUCUGGGCUGACACUGACGCUCAUGCACGAAAGCGUGGGGAGCAAACAGG
rnacentral:rRNA from 1 species